rfam:Myotis davidii contig75959, whole genome shotgun sequence.
GGCAGUUCUCGGAUCAUGCACCCCAAAUUCGGGCUCUCUCCUCUCUGGUUCUUGGUGCAUCACCCGAGAAAUGCA